AAUAAGUGCAGUUUUGCAUUGUUCAUGUCCAACAUUUGACCGUUCGUCUUAUUUGAAAUUUUUUUAUGAUUAGUAUUUUCGUUGUUAUUAGAUGAUAAAAUAUGAAUAGUACUUUAUGUGACUAUUUUUUUUAAUUUUUUCAUAAUUAAGUAAGACGGAUGGUCAAAUAUUGGACAUGGAAACCCACGGCCACACUUAUU
rfam:Oryza punctata chromosome 10, whole genome shotgun sequence.